AGCAGCAGCCGCGGUAAUACAGAGGGUGCGAGCGUUAAUCGGAUUUACUGGGCGUAAAGCGUGCGUAGGCGGCUUCUUAAGUCGGAUGUGAAAUCCCUGAGCUUAACUUAGGAAUUGCAUUCGAUACUGGGAAGCUAGAGUAUGGGAGAGGAUGGUAGAAUUCCAGGUGUAGCGGUGAAAUGCGUAGAGAUCUGGAGGAAUACCGAUGGCGAAGGCAGCCAUCUGGCCUAAUACUGACGCUGAGGUACGAAAGCAUGGGGAGCAAACAGGAUUAGAUACCCCGGUAGUCCCUGUCUCUUAUAU
rnacentral:rRNA from 1 species